UUCUGCUGUUACUAAGAAACUUUCUCAUUCCCCAGUUGAUUGCAUAUUCUGUUAUGCUCUGUGCCUUGGUGUCCUUGGAAACCAGUCACAUUACAGGUCAGUUAGAACUGCUUUGUACAGUUAGCCACAAUAAGCUUGGACCCGAACCAACCGCCCAGCAGCACUUCCUGCACCUGUGUACGAAGUUUAUGAUUUUUGCUUUUAUAAGCUGCUCCUGGGAUGGACCCCAACAUAAGAGAGACACCUGCACCAAUGAUCCUGGCACAGAGUUGCAGUCUGCAUCCCUGAUCGAUCACUCCGGGGGGAAACGCUCGACAGACUAUCCCGGUGAGACUGAGAUCCGUGUUCCUGUGGUUUGUGGAGUGACGCCUGGACCCCAACAUGAAAGGCAGUGCUUCCUGGCUGCUGGCUACAGCCAGGCUUAUGACACAUGUUGGUAGAAGUAGCAGCAUACACCUUUAAUACCAGUGCUCAAAGGAUGGGUCAUGACUGAAGAGCCAGCCUGGGCUACAUAGAAAGUUCAAGGUCACCCUAACCUAUUUAAUAAGAACUGGUCUCAGAGCAAGAGUUGGGAGAUCUUACUCAGCGACAGAGUUCUUGCAUAGCAAACCCAAGGCCCUAGGCUUUAUUUUCAGCACUGAAAAGGAAAAGCCAACACUUAAAAUGGCAGAUAUUACCUAACAUCUGGAUUUGGACAUUAUGACAAAAUGUCUUGACAUUGAGCUCUGCUUCAUGAACGACAGCUGCUUUGGUUGGAGUUAGCAGGCCUGACAACUAGGAAGGCAUCCUUCCAAUGCUACAGAGCCAGCAGCACCCUUUGCUGUGCCCCCACACUGCAAUUUACAGUGCGGGCUGAAGUCACACCCCAGCACAGGCCGGCCCACCUGGC